AUGACUUUUAUCAUCAGUACAUGUCACAAGAAAACAUUUAAAAUGACACUGAAACAAUCAUUGAAAUCAUCACUUCUCGACAUGGUCUGCACAUACAGUAGAUACAUUCAUUAUUGUCCAAGGGAAGACAGUAACUGCCUUUCAUUUUAAAGAGCUUGGUGGAGAGGCUGAAGAAAUGUGCUGCAGCUGAAGGUGAGUAGAAUGUUCCAGAGAACACAAAAGUCUAGAUGGUCUUCAGAAACAGCACUGAGCAUGAUGU
rnacentral:lncRNA from 1 species